rnacentral:rRNA from 1 species
GACGAACGCUGGCGGCGUGCUUAACACAUGCAAGUCGAACGGAAAGGCCUUUUCGGAGGUACUCGAGUGGCGAACGGGUGAGUAACACGUGGGUGAUCUGCCCUGCACUCUGGGAUAAGCCUGGGAAACUGGGUCUAAUACCGGAUAGGACCGCACUUUAGCGUGUGUGGUGGAAAGUUUUUUCGGUGUAGGAUGAGCCCGCGGCCUAUCAGCUUGUUGGUGGGGUAAUGGCCUACCAAGGCGGCGACGGGUAGCCGGACUGAGAGGUUGGUCGGCCACAUUGGGACUGAGAUACGGCCCAGACUCCUACGGGAGGCAGCAGUGGGGAGUAUUGCACAAUGGGCGCAAGCCUGAUGCAGCGACGCCGCGUGGGGGAUGACGGCCUUCGGGUUGUAAACUCCUUUCGCCAGGGACGAAGCGUUUUGUGACGGUACCUGGAGAAGAAGCACCGGCUAACUACGUG